rnacentral:rRNA from 1 species
UACGAAGGGGGCUAGCGUUGCUCGGAAUCAUCUGGGCGUAAAGCGGCACGUGGCGGGUCCUUAAGUCAAGGGGUGAAAGUCCCGGAGCUCAAUCGUCCGGAACUUGCCUUUGAAUGACUUGGGGAUCUUGAGUCCGGAAGAGGUGAGUGGGAACUCCGAGUGUAGAGGUGAAAUUCGUAGAUAUUCGGAAGAACACCAGUGGCGAAGGCGGCUC